rnacentral:rRNA from 1 species
UACGUAGGGUGCAAGCGUUACUCGGAAUUACUGGGCGUAAAGCGUGCGCAGGCGGUUGUGCAAGACAGAUGUGAAAUCCCCGGGCUCAACCUGGGAACUGCAUUUGUGACUGCACGGCUAGAGUGUGUCAGAGGGGGGUAGAAUUCCACGUGUAGCAGUGAAAUGCGUAGAUAUGUGGAGGAAUACCGAUGGCGAAGGCAGCCCCCUGGGUCAAAACUGACGCUCAUGCACGAAAGCGUGGGGAGCAAACAGG